rnacentral:tRNA from 9 species
CGGAUGUAGCCAAGUGGAUCAAGGCAGUGGAUUG